UCUCAUCCUAUAAUCGGGACAACUAUCAUCAGCAUCUUGUGUCAACACCAUACUAAGCCAAGAUGAGGGUAACACUUAUGCUACUCCUGACCCUCACGUUUCUCGUGCUACCAUCAGAUGCUGAAACAACAUGUAGUUCCAGGGAUUGGCCCCCGGGGGGUACAGCGUGUGAUAGAAGCAAGUGUGAGGACAAAUGUAAGAACUAUUAUAAUAACUAUUACCAGCAUUCUACUUGUGUAGGUCUCUGUAGUUGGACUUCCAUCUGUACAGACAAUGGGUGCCAUUGCUCAAUUUGUGAUGAUCACAGCCAUCCAUUGGGGCACGGAAUAAACUGAUCCUAACUAUGUAUGCUGAAAUGGUUUCCUCAUUGAAAUAAGAGAGAUAUUAAUUGCAA